AGCAAGCUAAAUUUUGAGUCCAGAAAGGUGGUUAGGGUUUCUGUGCUCUGGAUUGUACAUCUUCCUCUCUCUAACUUGUUCUCCCCACCUUUUAGGAUGGCCAACACCCUCUUAUCACUUGAGACUCAGAAGAAGGGAAAUCUCCUCUGAAUUCUUUUCUGACCAGGGGCCCUGAUGACUGCCCCUUGUUGUCCCUUCAUCCCUGUGUGGACCAUUCUCAUGGCAUGGAUGGCAGAUAAGGAAACAGCUUGUUGAAAUCCCCUUGGCUUGCUAAAUGGCAAAACGGGCUGAAACUGUUUGGAACCAAUAUAGCUGACUAGAAUCUGCACAGAAUAGACUUGCUUGCUGGAUGAGUGACCUUUUGACAUCAUAGCUGGAAUUUCCACCAUAUGUUUCAGACCAACUCCCCCUGCAUUUGCACAUGUGACUCAUGAAGAGGCAUGAAGAGACAACUGCAUACACCCUAGGGAUUUUACAAACUUCCCCCUUUCCUCCACCAAAUCACUCGCCAAUCCCGAAAUCCUCCUCCCAAAAUUUCUCCCCUCAGUAUACUGCUUUUAGGCUGGCAUGGGAGAUAGAUUUGAGUUAGCCUCCUGUCUCCUCAUUCGGUUGCUUUGCAGUAAACCUUUCUCUGCAAGAGACUGGUGCUGUGAUGUUGGGCUUUCCUUUGUGUGGGGGCAAAUGAACCCUAUUUGGUUUGGUCGCACUGGUGGAAUGAGUGUGUGGAUCAUUUUCAUGGCUGCGGUUUUUCAUUAAGUACCUGUGACUGAGUUCUUACAAUAGGGACAGUGACUUCCAAGCUAGAUUAUAGGGUUUUUGUAAAUCUACAAGUCAUUUGUUGCCAGCCUUUUUAAAAAAUAAAUACAUGAAUCAC
rnacentral:lncRNA from 1 species